UUACUACUUGGAUACCUGUGGUAAUUCUAGAGCCAAUACAUGCUAAAAACCUCAACUUCGGAAGGGGUGUAUUUAUUAGAUAAAAAACCAAUGCCCUUCGGGGCUCCUUGGUGAUUCAUAAUAACUUCACGAAUCGCAUGGCCUUGAGCCGGCGAUGGUUCAUUCAAAUUUCUGCCCUAUCAACUUUCGAUGGUAGUAUAGAGGACUACCAUGGUUUCUACGGGUAACGGGGAAUUAGGGUUCUAUUCCGGAGAGGGAGCCUGAGAAACGGCUACCACAUCCAAGGAAGGCAGCAGGCGCGCAAAUUACCCAAUCCCGACACGGGGAGGUAGUGACAAUAAAUACUGAUCCAGGGCUCUUUUGGGUCUUGGAAUUGGAAUGAGUACAAUUUAAAUCCCUUAACGAGGAACAAUUGGAGGGCAAGUCUGGUGCCAGCAGCCGCGGUAAUUCCAGCUCCAAUAGCGUAUAUUAAAGUUGUUGCAGUUAAAAAGCUCGUAGUUGAAACUUGGGCCUGGCUGACCGGUCCGCCUCACCGCGUGCACUGGCUCGGCCGGGCCUUUCCUUCUGGGGAACCGCAUGGCCUUCAUUGGUCGUGUUGGGGAUCCAGGACUUUUACUUUGAAAAAAUUAGAGUGUUCAAAGCAGGCCUAUGCUCGAAUACAUUAGCAUGGAAUAAUAGAAUAGGACGUGUGGUUCUAUUUUGUUGGUUUCUAGGACCGCCGUAAUGAUUAAUAGGGAUAGUCGGGGGCAUCAGUAUUCAAUUGUCAGAGGUGAAAUUCUUGGAUUUAUUGAAGACUAACUACUGCGAAAGCAUUUGCCAAGGAUGUUUUCAUUAAUCAGUGAACGAAAGUUAGGGGAUCGAAGACGAUUGUAUUUGGUCGUCCAUAGUGAGCGCGCAGCGCCAUCAUCUAGUUGGGAGGGCCUCCCUUGCGGGGGAGCGCUCCUGGCCACAUCACCAAACUGAUGGGGCUCCCUCGCCGUUUCCGGUGGGGUGAAACCCACAGCCAAGCUCUUCGGAGUGCAGUCUACAGACUGAAUGUUGAUGGGCGGGCCCUACGGGGCCUGUUUCUAAUAUAGCCGAGUCCCCCGGGAGUUUCUUUCCGGGGGUGUUUACCGCAGAUACCGUCGUAGUCUUAACCAUAAACUAUGCCGACUGGGGAUCGGACGGUGUUAUUAUUUUGACCCGUUCGGCACCCUACGAGAAAUCAAAGUCUUUGGGUUCUGGGGGGAGUAUGGUCGCAAGGCUGAAACUUAAAGAUAUUGACGGAAGGGCACCACCAGGAAGCUCAAACGCCUGGUUAUAUAAAAGUAAUUAACCCCCCUUCUUGGGGCGGUGAGGCCUUUGAAUUGCGUGGACUGUCUCAGCCCCUCGGGCGAGACGUACCCGCAGCCGACCCCCAAAGUUGGGGGCUUCGGUCCACAGAUCAAGUGGUGGCCGGUGGUACCGUAGGGGUACCAUUUAUGAUAUGAUCGACCCCUAAGCAACCAGCUUAGGGAUUCAGUGCGUGGAGCCUGCGGCCUAAUUUGACUCAACACGGGGAAACUCACCAGGUCCAGACACAAUAAGGAUUGACAGAUUGAGAGCUCUUUCUUGAUUUUGUGGGUGGUGGUGCAUGGCCGUUCUUAGUUGGUGGAGUGAUUUGUCUGCUUAAUUGCGAUAACGAACGAGACCUUAACCUGCUAAAUAGCCAGGUCAGCUUUGGCUGGCCGCCGGCUUCUUAGAGGGACUAUCGGCUCAAGCCGAUGGAAGUUUGAGGCAAUAACAGGUUAACCUUUAUAAUAUUCACAGGCCUGUUGAAUCGAGUCCAUAUCUUCGCGGUAUGGCAGCUGGACUAUCAUGUCUGGUUUACACCACUGGUACAGAGGAUGCCCUAUACGGGCUGAUUCUGUGGCGAGCUCCGCCGAGGAGCCGUCUCAACGCGUGCAAAGUGGUGGGCCCGUAGGUUUGAAACCACGGGCUUCAGGUACAUGCUGGCCCCCCAUAAGAUGGGGGGAUGACUGCUGUGAUGCCCUUAGAUGCUCUGGGCCGCACGCGCGCUACACUGACAGAGACAACGAGUUCAUCUCCUUGACCGGAAGGUUUGGGUAAUCUUGUUAAACUCUGUCGUGCUGGGGAUAGAGCAUUGCAAUUAUUGCUCUUCAACGAGGAAUGCCUAGUAAGCGCGAGUCAUCAGCUCGCGUUGAUUACGUCCCUGCCCUUUGUACACACCGCCCGUCGCUACUACCGAUUGAAUGGCUCAGUGAGGCCUUCGGACUGGCCCAGAGAGGUCGGCAACGACCACUCCGGGCCGGAAAGUUGGU
rnacentral:rRNA from 1 species